GCAACUAGUCCUAUAGAUUCAUGGCUUCAAUCUGUCUUUGGUUCUAUGUCUGAAUGGGCUCUAAGUUGUAUUAAGGAAGGCCUCCGAUGGGUAUUGACAGUUAUUGUAAUCUUAGUAAUAACUCGUGUUGCCUUUUCUUGUAUUACCAGGCGUAUAAAUGCUACGACAAGGAAAGCAUUGUUGGCCCAAAAUAAAAACGGGGGAAAUUGUAGAGGAUUUGGUUAGAAACGCGAGGACAUAUGAGCAUGGCUAAGGCCAUGUAUGAGCUGCUAAAGUACAAGACUUCUGC